rnacentral:rRNA from 1 species
ACGCACGCUGGCGGCGUGCUUCACCCCUGCCCGUCGCACGGUGAACGCGGGAGCUUUCUCCCUCCGGAUCAGUGGCGAACGGGUGAGUAACCCGUUAGCAAUCUUCCCCGAACUCUGGGAUAAGCGUUGGAAACGACGUCUAAUACCGGAUACGACGCGGGAGGGCAUCCUCUCCGCGUGGAAAGAAAUUCGGUUCGGGAUUAGCUCGCGGCCUAUCAGCUUGUUGGUGAGGUAACGGCUCACCAAGGCUACGACGGGUAGCCGGCAUGAGAGGGUGACCGGCGACAAUGGGACUGAGAGACGGACCAGACUGCAACGGGAGGCAGCAGUGGGGAAUAUUGCACAAUGGGCGCAAGCCUGAUGAAGAAACGCCGCGAGAGGGAAGACGGCCUUCGGGUUGUAAACCUAUUUUAGCAGGGAAGAAGCGAAAGUGACGGUACCUGAAGAAAAAGCACCGGCUAACUACGUG